CGCACAGAGAGAAAGGUCAGGUCAGCUAGACGAGCGCCGCACACGCCCCGACACAUCAGGUCAGCUAGACGAGCGCCGCACACGCCCCGACACACACCAGGUCAGCUAGACGAGCGCCGCACACGCCCCGACACACACCAGGUCAGCUAGACGAGCGCCGCACACGCCCCGACACACACCAGGUCAGCUAGACGAGCGCCGCACACGCCCCGACACACACCAGGUCAGCUAGACGAGCGCCGCACACGCCCCGACACACACCAGGUCAGCUAGACGAGCGCCGCACACGCGCCGACACACACCAGGUCAGCUAGACGAGCGCCGCACACGCCCCGACACACACCAGGUCAGCUAGACGAGCGCCGCACACGCCCCGACACACACCAGGUCAGCUAGACGAGCGCCGCACACGCCCCGACACACACCAGGUCAGCUAGACGAGCGCCGCACACGCCCCGACACACACCAGGGCGUCGGCCCUAUGCUUUCAUCAUAAGAGGAACCUGCUUAUUGCAUUUUCGUUUCAUAAGUAAUAAAAAUAAAGAUUUUC